GGGUACUCGUACCUGGUGGCGAGCGGCGGACGGGUGAGUAAUGCCUAGGAAUCUGCCUGGUAGUGGGGGAUAACGCUCGGAAACGGACGCUAAUACCGCAUACGUCCUACGGGAGAAAGCAGGGGACCUUCGGGCCUUGCGCUAUCAGAUGAGCCUAGGUCGGAUUAGCUAGUUGGUGAGGUAAUGGCUCACCAAGGCGACGAUCCGUAACUGGUCUGAGAGGAUGAUCAGUCACACUGGAACUGAGACACGGUCCAGACUCCUACGGGAGGCAGCAGUGGGGAAUAUUGGACAAUGGGCGAAAGCCUGAUCCAGCCAUGCCGCGUGUGUGAAGAAGGUCUUCGGAUUGUAAAGCACUUUAAGUUGGGAGGAAGGGCAGUUACCUAAUACGUGAUUGUUUUGACGUUACCGACAGAAUAAGCACCGGCUAACUCUGUGCCAGCAGCCGCGGUAAUACAGAGGGUGCAAGCGUUAAUCGGAAUUACUGGGCGUAAAGCGCGCGUAGGUGGUUUGUUAAGUUGAAUGUGAAAUCCCCGGGCUCAACCUGGGAACUGCAUCCAAAACUGGCAAGCUAGAGUAUGGUAGAGGGUGGUGGAAUUUCCUGUGUAGCGGUGAAAUGCGUAGAUAUAGGAAGGAACACCAGUGGCGAAGGCGACCACCUG
rnacentral:rRNA from 1 species